UCAGGACGAACGCUGGCGGCACGCUUAACACAUGCAAGUCGAACGAGUGAAAGAGUGCUUGCACUCUCUAGCUAGUGGCGGACGGGUGAGUAACACGUGAGCAAUCUGCCUUUCGGUGGGGGGAUACCAAUUGGAAACGAUUGUUAAUACCCCAUAACAUAGAUAAGCCGCAUGACCUAUCUAUCAAAGAUUUAUUGCCGGAAGAUGAGCUCGCGUCUGAUUAGGUAGUUGGUGAGGUAACGGCCCACCAAGCCGACGAUCAGUAGCCGGACUGAGAGGUUGAACGGCCACAUUGGGACUGAGACACGGCCCAGACUCCUACGGGAGGCAGCAGUGGGGAAUAUUGCACAAUGGGCGAAAGCCUGAAUGCAGCGAUGCCGCGUGAGGGAAGAAGGUUUUAGGAUUGUAAACCUCUGUCUUUGGGGACGAUAAUGACGGUACCCAAGGAGGAAGCUCCGGCUAACUACGUGCCAGCCGCAGC
rnacentral:rRNA from 1 species